rfam:Ailuropoda melanoleuca scaffold318_38, whole genome shotgun sequence.
CCAAAGGCAGUUUUUACAGCCACAUAAUUUAAUUAUGAAAAAAGUUU